GAGCGGGUUUGCAACAAUAAUAACUGCUAACUUAAUAUUGCCCUGGUUAAAAUCCAAGGCCCCCUCA
ensembl:Mt_tRNA